AGCUCCAAAAGCGUAUAUUAACGUUGUUGCAGUUAAAAGGCUCGUAGUCGAAUUUGUGAUUUUGCGCGUUCUGUCCAAUGUCUAGUAUAUUGCGUACAGUUACUCGCGAAUCAUCCUUCUGGUUAGUACUUCUGCUCUUGAUUGAGUUGGUUGUGUCAUCCAGAUCAUUUACUGUGAGUAAAUCAAAGUGUUCAAAGCAGGCCUCGCGCCAUGAAUGCUCUAGCAUGGAAUAAUACUAUAGGACUUCGGUUUUAUUUAUUGGCUUCUAAAAUUGAAGUAAUGAUUGAAAGAGAUAGUUGGGGGUGCUAGUAUUUAACGGUCAGCGGUGAAAUGCAUAGACCCGUUAAAGACUAACUUAUGCGAAAGCUUUCACCAAGGAUAUCUUCUUUGAUCAAGAACG
rnacentral:rRNA from 1 species